GCAAAAUCGCAGUUUUAUUCACGAUCCCGCACUUAUACUCAGUCUUGCAAAUAUUCAUUUUCAUAAAGCUCAAAUAUCGAGAUUUUCAGCCUACCCCACAGUGAUGAACCAUGAACAGCAAAAGAACUUCAAAAUGACAGAACACGACAACCACUGAAUAUGAAUAGAUAAACUUUUGCUCUUCAACCCAUUUCAAUGUUCAUCAUUGAGUUCAUUGUCAUAUUCAUUAUGAUUUUCUCAAACAUAAACAAUGAGUUUCGUUUUUCAGCCACGAAGUUCAACCAAGCCAGCAUUCAAGUGCACGUUGAAGUUGUGCAGCUGCAGUAUUUGUUUACUCGGUUUACGCUGAUGGAUUGCGCUGUAACGAAUCGAAAAUGCAGGUAAAAAGGUAUGCGCCACUACGUUCCGCCACUACGUGGAUACUACAAUGCACGGAGGGAGGUAGAUGCACUUCAUCCAACAUUUCCCCCCUCCCAACGAAACGAUUCGUAAACCGGCCUUUGUAUACACAAAUACUGGAAAUUUACUUUAUAAUCGCUAGGUAAGUGAACGAUGAAAUUGAGUGUUUUGUAGAAUUAUUAAAUGUAUUAAAUCUAAUGAGUUUGCGGCAAA